GUCGAUCUGCCCAAUGAAGUAAACUNUGAAUGGCUGUAGCAUACUGACUGUACAAGGGCAGCAGAAUUAAUUGUCUUCUAAUUGAAGACUUGGAUGAAAGAAUUAAUAAGAUAUNUACCGUCUUUUAAAUNUAAAAUGCUAAAAUUUUGUUAUGGGAUAAUAAGGCUCUAUAGAAUUUUAUGAAUAAUUUAUUANUGAGAUAUNUUGUACAUAUAUAAUCAUUUNACAAAUAAAUUNUUUACUUAGGUUAGGAAGACACGGAAGUUUAAUAAACUUUAUUAUAUUAUGUAUACUACGACUAUAGAAUGAAAUAACGAAUUAACUNUUUUAAUUAUUAGAAUAAUNUUACCUACGCACAGCGUACGAACAGCGUAAUAUCUUUUGGAAGGACAUAUUCAUAAAUAUGUUUGCGAUGUCGAUGUUGAAUUAAGAUAUAUGUUAAAUGCAGGAGUUUAAAUAGUAAGUUUG
rnacentral:rRNA from 1 species